rnacentral:rRNA from 1 species
GAAAAGAACCCCGGGAGGGGAGUGAAAUAGAACCUGAAACCCUAUGUUUACAAGCAGACAGAGCACGUUAAGGUGCGAUGUCGUACUUUUUGUAGAACGGUCCGGCGAGUUAUUUUAUAUGGCAAGGUUAAGUACUGAAGGUACGAAGCCGAAGAGAAAUCGAGUCUGAAGAGGGCGAAGAAGUCAUAUGAAAUAGACCCGAAACCGAGUGACCUAUCCAUGUCCAGGUUGAAGCUUGAGUAAAAUCAAGUGGAGGACCGAACCGAUAAGCGUUAAAAAGCUUCCGGAUGAGGUGUGGAUAGAGGAGAAAUUCCAAUCGAACUCGGAGAUAGCUGGUUCUCCUCGAAAUAGUUUUAGGACUAGCCUUGUUUUAUUAGCACAUGGGGGUAGAGCACUGAAUGAGGUAGGGGCCAACAAGGUUACUGAACUCUAUCAAACUACGAAUACCGUGUGUGGAAGAACAGGAGUCAGACUGCGGGAGCUAAGUUCCGUGGUCAAAAGGGAAAGAGCCCAGAUCGUCAAUUAAGGUCCCAAAGAUAUAGUUAAGUGGAAAACGAUGUGAUUUUGCGUAAACAACCAGGAUGUUGGCUUAGAAGCAGCCAUUCAUUCAAAGAGUGCGUAAUAGCUCACUGGUCGAGUGAAGUUGCGCGGAAAAUUACCGGGGCUAAACUAUACACCGAAAUUGCGGAUUUGUACGUAAGUACAAGUGGUAGAGGAGCAUUCUAUAGUAGGACGAAGCAUAAUCGAAAGGAUAUGUGGACGAGAUAGAAGAGAGAAUGCCGGAAUAAGUAGCGAAAGCAUGGUGAGAAUCCAUGCCAUCGAAAGUCUAAGGUUUCCUGGGGAAGGUUCGUCCGCCCAGGGUAAGUCGGGACCUAAGGAGAGGCCGAAAAGCGUAUCCGAUGGACAGCAGGUAGAAAUUCCUGCACUGCGAAAUACUUAAAAGAUGCAAAUGACACAAGAGUGGAAGAUGAGCGAGGAAGAGGAAAAACUCGUAUCGAAAGAUAUAGUGAAACAAUAGUAACGAAUCAUCAAGAAGCUAAUGGCGAGAAAAGUUUGUAGAUAUUGUAUUUAGUACCCGUACCGCAAACCGACACAGGUAGAUGAGGAGAGGAUCCUAAGAUGAGCGAGAGAAGCAUUGUUAAGGAACUCGGCAAACUGACCCCGUAACUUCGGAAUAAGGGGUGCUGGUGUAAAAGCCAGUCGCAGAGAAUAGUCCCAAGCAACUGUUUAACAAAAACACAGGUUUCUGCUAAAUCGAAAGAUGAAGUAUAGGAGCUGACACCUGCCCAGUGCUGGAAGGUUAAGGGAAAGGGUUAGGAGUAAUCCGAAGCCUAGAACUAAAGCCCCAGUGAACGGCGGCCGUAACUAUAACGGUCCUAAGGUAGCGAAAUUCCUUGUCAGGUAAGUUCUGACCCGCACGAAAGGUGUAAUGAUUUGGGAGCUGUCUCGACAAUGUACUCGGCGAAAUUGUAGUACUAGUGAAGAUGCUAGUUACCUGCGACAAGACAGAAAGACCCCAUGGAGCUUUACUGCAGCUUGAUACUGGGUUUUGGUAAUUUAUGUACAGGAUAGGUGGGAUGCGAAGAAGCAAUUGCGCCAGCGAUUGUGGAGCAGACGUUGGGAUACCACCCUUAAAUUACUGAAAUUCUAACUAGCCGUCAUGAACUGGCGGGAGGACAAUGUCAGGCGGGCAGUUUGACUGGGGCGGUCGCCUCCUAAAGAGUAACGGAGGCGCGCAAAGGUUUCCUCAGCGCGGACAGAAAUCGCGCGAAAGAGUGCAAAGGCAGAAGGAAGCUUAACUGAGAGACAGACAUGUCGACCAGAUACGAAAGUAGGUCUUAGUGAUCCGGUGGUAGUAAGUGGGAAUGCCAUCGCUCAACGGACAAAAGUUACCCUGGGGAUAACAGGCUUAUCUCCCCCAAGAGUUCACA